rnacentral:rRNA from 1 species
UGCCAGCCGCCGCGGUAAUACGGAGGGAGCGAACGUUGUUCGGAUUAACUGGGCGUAAAGGGCGUGUAGGCGGUUUGGUAAGUCAGAGGUGAAAUGUCCCGGCUCAACCGGGGACCUGCCUUUGAAACUACUGAACUUGAGGCCGUGAGAGGAGACUGGAAUUCCUAGUGUAGCGGUGAAAUGCAUAGAUAUUAGGAAGAACACCAGUGUCGAAGGCGAGUCUCUGGCACGGUUCUGACGCUGAGUCGCGAACGCUAGGGGCGAGAACGGGCUUCGAUA